AAAUAUGGCAUUUAGAGAUGAAAGGAUUUAUUGAGGCUUCCACUUGCAGACUUACUCGCUUCUUCAAAUUUCCCCUUUAGCCUUUAAAAUGACUAGUGCUAGUGCUACCUCUCCUUCCUACAGCUGACAGCCACACACUAAUCCAUCUCACUGCCAACCUACUGCACUAUUGCUCAUCCUGAAUGUCUCCUCUUCUACUCACUUUUACCCAUUUUGACUGACAAACUGUUCCUCUCUUUUCCUUCAGCCUUUGUCCCAGGUAUUGCUCUGUCAAACUACACGCUUUUACCUUGGCUAUCUCCUUGUCAGUAAAUCACUAAAGCCCUUUACCAUUUCAAGAAGCUUUUUGCACCCAUUAUAGAGGUGGCAGAAGUUGAACAUGGCAUUUAAGAGGUGCGGGUGCUUUCAUGCUGCUGAGAAGCAAUCUAGAUGCUUCUCUGUUCUACAGCGUGAUGUCUCCUGAGAAAACAGCUAGGUUAAGUAGAUAACCUCUUUAAAGAAUGUCCAUCUAUCCCCUCCUGCUCCAGCCUAUAAAUCUUCCACACAGAAAAUCCUUGUGUGGAGUCAGGAGGAUGGCAACAGUGUGGGAAAUUUGCCAUGCUGCCUCUACACAUGUGGGAAAGGUGAAACUCCCAGACAGGACGUGCUGCCAGCACUCAGAGAUGCGACAAAUAAUACUAUGCUGUUCUUUAAAUGAUGUUAAAUGGAUGCUGCCUAAUACACAUCUGCAGACUGGUCAUUGAGAUGUGGACUUCGGAGUAUUACAACAAUUGCAAUGGCUCCUUUGCUACUGCUGUGAGCCCUCCAUCACUGCUUCUCCCCACAAGCUGCUGCUGGAGGUGCUGCUGCUGUGACAGACAACAAAUGAGCUUCCAAGCUGAGAUAUCGAAUGAGUUGUGACAGCUGGCUGCAGUCUGGAGCACAGGAGGAGGGAACCUCUCUUUCUUCUACCUUCUUUUACAGCGAUAGCUGAGGAGCAGAAGGCAAUGGUAUCAUUCACACGGAGGAGGUGUGAUGCAGUGUGAAAGGGAACUGGGAGGAAAGUGAGGUACGUCUGACAUGUCAGUCACUGAGGUGACACAGAAUGAGCUGGUAAAAUUUCUCCUCUGUUAGUGUUCCUUAAUUCUCUGCAGCUAUGCUGGUACAAGCAUCAAAGGCUUUCAGUAUGAAACACAGCAAGAGCUAAGCUGCCAGGGAUCAACACGGUCUCCUGAACUGGCUCAGAGGGUGCAGACGGAUCUGCUCUGACAGCCUCUUUAGCCAUGUCAAGCACAUUUAGCGUUCAGGCUGAAGUUGUUUUCCUCCCUAAGCUCAGGCCGCUGUGAAUUAAAAACACAUACCAACAGCAUGAGGUCGGAAACUCCAUAUGUGUUAUUUCCUUGCUUCCUGUGAACCUGCAUCUUAUAUACAAACACGCAUAAAUAACUCACUAUUAAUAUCUGUGAAGUUUACACAGUUCCUACCCGUGUAUUUCAAACUGCUCAGAAUUGACUCCUGCCAAGGAGAGUACUUAUCUCAUGAUUAGAAUCAUAAAGUAAAGCAAGUAAUGACAGCUUGAAGAGAUUUUAAUUGCAGUUUUCACACCUGUUUUCCCCUUAGGUGCAAUGGGAAGAUGCUGCGCUUGCCUAACUGGGAAGAAGGGCAGGAUUUUCUCUGUAAGGUAGACUUUGGAGAGUGCACCAGACUUAGAACAUCUGAGAAGUGCAUCCUUUACACGUACCUAUGAAUGUUCUGUCCCAGAAGGCUGGCUCUGGCUAGCAGAAAACAUAGAGAUGUUCACAUAGCCGGCUAUUCCCCUUCUCAAUACAACUGAUUGACAUUUAUAUUGCUUGGAGGUACAAAGAUUGCAGAAACAUGGUGUUUAUGACAAGUUAUUUCCUCAUUGUCCAACGUGAUGAGAACGAACUAGUUCAUAUUCCUUGCCUGCACUUAUUUUAGCAUUUCACCAGCCCCCUCUAAUUCCUAGUAUUUGGGGCUGAUCAUAAGCUCUGAUGCAGAAGAAAAACCUCUUCUAAAAUUCUUAGCGAUACCGAUUGUGUUCCAUCACCUUUCCAGACUGUCAAUACAAUCCCAUGAUGUGCCAAUGAGCCUCACAGUCUGAAGUAGCACUGAAUGAAAGCAUUACUCCUCUCCUACUGCCUCCUUUGCACAUUUUUUUUCCCCACUAAAUGACUUAGUUUUGUAUUAUGAGACAGAGAGAACCUCCCCAAGAACUUCUACAGGCUGCACUGACCAUCGCAUUCUGAGGUACUGAUCUUGUUUUUCACAAUAAACCAUAUGAAGGUUAAAACAAGAAUAAUCUUCACACAAUAGAUUAUUUAUGGUCAUUUUCUUGAACAGCCCAACUGCCCCAUAAAGUUUAUCAUCUUUUUAAGAAAUAAAGAACUUCAAAGAUCUCUAUCUUUUUCUUUUUUUUCUUUUAAAUUAAGCAUCUGAUUUUUGAUGCCACAUUACACUUACUGACAAGUAUAUUAUGACACUUAUACAUAAGAGGCCAUUUCUAAAUGCAAGAACAGUGAAGUACUUAAGGAGCUGCAGUUUGAAAACAAAUCAUGAUGAUCUGUCAAUGAAAUGGAAAUGAAGGAAAUAAAAUCCACGUGGUGCCUGAAGAGAGGUUUAAAUGUCUACAGCUAUGGUUAGAUUUCCAAACUAAGAACAUGAUUCACUCUUCUUUUGCAUCAUCUAAAAAUAGCCCCUAUACCUUCAUUAAGGAGUGAAGAAAAUGAGAACACGUGUCUGGACACACCAAGGCUCCCAUCUCUAAUCCCUCCGCUUCUUUGUUCUUAAGAUUGAAUGGGGGAAACAAUAGGGAGAAAACAGUGUUUCACACAGUUUGAAUUGCUCCCAGGUGCUUGCUGCUGUCCAUGGCCACACUGGAUGCUCCUCAGGUACAGUAGCCAAACCACCAUGUGUAAACUCCCCCAGGGCAAGGACUGGGGGAAUUGUACAACUCUGUUGCUACAGCUGGCAAAUUCACUGAAAAUACUGAUGUGAACAUAUACAAACACAUACACACUGAAUCAACUUGAGUUUUGUAGAGAGAAGCCCUGCUCCUGAAUCUCUCUGAGGUCCCUGAACAGCUAGCAAGCAUAUGGGAAACAGUGACCUGGCCCAGAGUGAAUCUCCAUUUCCAAAACCAACUGAGAAGAUCCCUCAUCAAAGCUGUGGCAGAAGCUAAGAUGGGAAGGAUUACAAAGGAAAGUCCUACUUGACCUUCCAUAGCCAAUUAAAAGACAGGAAAGAAAGUGUAAAUACACAGUCAUUUUUUACAAUGGAGGAAGGUUACCAGCUGGGUCUCACAAGGAUUUGUGUUGUGAUACUUGUAGAAGUGACCUGGAUAAUGGAGCGAAUGGUGCAGUGACAAAGUUCAUUGACAAAAAUGAAAAAAAAAAAAAGUCAAAGUAAAACCAGUUGCAAAGAGCUGCAAAAAGAUGUUACGAAUUCUGAGUGUGCAAUAAAAGGAAAAGGAUAUUUCAUACUGAUAUAAGGGAAAAUGGUGCACAAAGGCAUAAAAGGCCCUAACUAUACAUACACAAUGGGCUCUAUAUUGGCUCUGUUCCACCCGGGACAGAGACCUUGGAGUCACUGUGGAUAAUUUUCUGUGAGCACUUGUCUGAGUGGCAGUCAAAAAAGCAAAGAGAAAGAUAGAAGUAAUUAUGAAGGAACAGAGAAAACAAAAUGCCAUUACACCUCUAUACAAACGAUGCAACCUCAUUUUACAUAUGGUAUCAGUUCUGGACACUCAACCACAUGGGAAUACAGAAGAACUAGUAAAGAUACAAAGCAGGGAGACAAACACUGGUAUGGGAUGGUUUUUGGACAAGGAAUGACUACACAAAUCAGGAGUAUUCAAACUGGAAAAAGACACUACAGACAUCCAUAUGACUGUGAAUAACAGGGAGAAAAUCCACAAGAAGUGAAUCAAUAUUUCUCCUGUGGAAGUACAGGACACCAACGUAGUUAUGAAACAGUGGAUUAGAAACUAACAUAAGGAAGUGCAAUGAAAAGCUGGACUGUGGAACUCAUUGGCACAAAUAAUAAGAACAUUUGAAAUACAAAAGAACAAAUGCAAAGACGAAGGGUUCAUCUAGGGUUACUAACACAAUGGUAAAAAUACUAUUUCCAGUCCUGGAAGUCUGUCAAAUGCUGGCUGCCAAAAGCUGGAUGUGCUAGUAGUACUAAGGCAGAGGUGAAAUCCCUAAGUAGUCUGUAGGCACCAGUGCCAAAGACAUGAUAAUGGACUUGGGUACCACUGCUCCCAGACUCUGACCACAGUUAUUGGAAACAAGUUACGAGACCUUAGACAGUGGGUCUUUGUUACCUUCAGUUAAGCAGAGCCAAACACCACAGGCAGGAAUUACGGAAGCACUUCAGAUUUACUUUUCAAAGGUAGUAGGAGGAAAAGCUUUAGGGUCUUUCUGAAAGUCUUACUGGAGAUAUGAGAUGCAAACAGCUGUCUAAGAUCGCUGUACACAUUCAAAUACAAAAGCCAACAUAAAAGAAGAAAAAUGGGAGCAGCAGCCUCACUGCGAACUCACAACUAAUGAUAAUUAUUAGUGCUUUUUAUUCUAAAUUACAGACUAUCUUUAGGGAGUAGCAUUCCUAAUUACUCCAAUUUUAAAAUGCCACAGUGCAGCUGGUAAAUAUUUUAACUUGCAUCUUCUUAGUAAAACUGACAAAAACUAUUUAGCCAUCAAAACCACAGUCUUAAAAGCAUUCAGUAAAAUCCAACAAAAUGGGUUAGUUAAGAUUAUACUUUGAUAAAAUAAAACCGUUUAUUAACAGUAAACGUGUGCCAAGCAAUUGUAUAUGAAACAGAAUAAGAUUUAGCGCUUUUUUUCUUGUUUUCCUCUUGAAUAAUUAGGUUUGUUGAAUAAUGGUCUUUCAAUUAUAUUGCUGUUAAUUAGCAAUGCUAGCUGCUUUUAAACAUACACACGUUUGUACAUAUGCACACAUAUACGCUUGGGCAUAUAUGCACAAACAUACAUUCCGAACAUCAAAAAGCAGUGUACAUAAGCUUAAUUAUUCCUUGCCCUUACAGGAAACAAAAAAAGACUAAACAAUAAAACACGGAGUUAAAAACUACUCCAAUGAAAAAAAAUAGCAUGGCAGCUGCUUUGAGGAACAUUGUACUCUCACACAGAUGAGCUUCUGUUCAUGUAAAUCUAUAUUUAAGCUUUAAGAAGGGCAAGAAUGAACAUGGGCUACACUGCCUGUGACUGGUUCACCAACUGGUUAAACAGCAGAUUUGUAAGAUUUUGUUCUGCAAGGAUCUGAAACAAUCUUAGCUGUGUCUAAGGCCUUCCAGGUUUAGAGUUAAAAAUCAACCUCCAAGUGAAUUACAGUAGAAACUGCCAGAAUUAGAUGGUCUCUACAUAGAGGGGGGAAAAGGAGCACAUUUUAAAAUAGUUUAUGCAAUAAAGAUCUAAGUACAGAAUUCAGGAGAACAUUUAACUCCACACCCAUUAACCAUAUUUGAGGAGUCUUAAGAAAAAGAGAUUUGUUGAGACAGAAUCUAUCAUUUUCUAAUUAAAAACUCCACUAAGGAUUCUUAUUUAGUAGCUGAAGAUAGUUGGUUUAAGAGCACUGUAUUGAACUAACAUCACUAAGGCCAGAGAAAGACCUAGCAAUUUCUGACAAGAAAAUCAUAAAUAAUUGCCUAAGCUGCUCUAUGCCCUCACCUCAUGCAGACUGUAGCAUAUGUGCUAAUGAUUCUACAGAGCAGUCAUAAGGCUUAAUAGAGUCUCUGCAGCUGUGCAACACGUGAAUAUGAUCCGCCCUGACCAGAGCUAUGGCUAUUUUCUUUAUCCCUGAACUUCAGGAAAUCUGUUGCUAUUAAGCAACAUCCAUUCUGAUUCAAAUCUUCUAAUUGUUCCUCUAUUCCUCUAUCUUCCUCUGUUUCCAUAGAUCAGACCUGCUGAGUUAACGCGAGUAAUAGGGAACUUGCAUAUAGGCAUCUGGAUGUGCUUUCAUUUAUGUUUUUACAUCUCACUCUACAUAUAGAGACAAAACAAAGUUACCAAUAAUUACUCAAACAAACAAACAAAAAGAAUAAAUUAUCCUGCAAAAGUGACAAGAGGGAAACCCUACUGAAAAAGCUCUCACAGUAAGACUGUCAAUGUGGUAUUCAUAUUUGCAGCUCUUCCUACGGAAGCUUCCAUGUUUUUAGACUAGACUGAAUUCUUCUAACUGUCUUCCUAUAUAAAGCAAUUUCUAAAUGGCAAGAAACAUGCCAUAAGCCUCUUAACAUUUCAUGGCAUAUUAAUAAACACAGCUCAAUGAUGACUGCUUAGUACACCUAGAUAUUUGCCUUCUCUUUGACCUUUUUAUUAUCUCUGUUUAUUUCUUAAUGGGGAAGGAGAUGAGAGUAAAUAGAUCUAGGCGUAGCUCCACUUUUGUUAACAUUGUUUUGAAUUGAAAAGGGAAAGCAAAAUGUGUGGAAGUUUUAUGCUCCUUUUCAACACCAGUGUGAACCACUGCAGAUGUUGUGUCUACACUAGAAAACAGGGACUCAAGCUUCAGCUGCUGCUAGGCAAAGUGGAAUGUAACAGAGGUGGAGAUUCACACCAAGUUCUGCUUGAAUCUUAGUAAACACUUUACACUUAGUCCUUCCUGAAUAAGCUUUCCUGCUAUGGAUUGGGCAUGCUCCUUUAUGGUGUUUGGCUAUUUCUUUUCCUAUUUUUUUUAUUUUUUUUUUUGGAAAGAAAGAGGAAAGAGAAUGGUGAGAUGAAGUAACAAGACUCCAGUUACCAUGAGUACUACAGACAACUCAGAACUUGCUGUGCUUGUCCUUUCUGUCCUAUGACCAAACAACCUCUCUUGUAGGAAAGGGACAAAUUUCAUCUGUGUGAUCUUGAGCUGUUGCUAAGAACAGUGUAGUUACUGACUACACUAAAAAUACAGUGACGACAAAAAAAAAAAAGCAACCUCUUUUCCUUUUUUAACCUCUAGCAUAGAUGUGUUAUUUUUAAUUAGCAGGUACAACAAAUCUAAAGCACAGUAAUUUUUACGUUGUCAGAAUCUCUCUGUAUUUCACAUUAUUUAAUAAAGCGACCUUUUGUUCUCCACAAUUGCUAGUUUAUGACAGCUACUCAGACUGAUACCAAUUUUUUUUUGUUAAAUUGAAAUUCUAGCACAGGUAAGUUGCUACUAAAAGAUGAUGGAAAACCAGAUGGGGCAUUUAUAGCCAGAAUUGGUGUCAGAAAGGACAAAUUUGCAGAAGCUGGACAUGGUGAUUAAAGAUGUAAGGAUGAAGGUCUACCAGGAAUGAUGACAGGAGUACUUUUUGCAUCCUAUUACAAUAUAUGUAGCUCUACUGUACGAAUUUUGAUGCUGGGAAAUUUGCAAUGCAGGCACAACAGCCAGGGAUUUCAACCUCUCCAGUAAGUGACUAUUCAUCUUCACAGAGGAACAUUCAUGUUUAUCCUUGUUCACCCGGAGGAAUUGAGUCUUCUUUGCUGAACAACAGCCUCUGCAUCACUUAAACUGUGCUAAAAUGCAACAACUGCUGCAAAGGCCUCUGGAUGAUACUACUUUUAAUCUACGUGCCUUCCUCAAUGCAAAACUUCCUGUAUCUGCUGGAAAUUUCAAGCCAUAAUGCCCACAUGUUAAAAUAUUUUUACAGCUUAAUAGUCUGUCCUACACAUUAACAAAUUACCACUCAGAGUACACUAGCCAUGCUUCUCAUGCUGUUCGUAUAACCCCAACCAACAAGGUGCUUUGACACAAUGGCCUAAAAAAUCCUAUUUCCUUCUGAAACUGGAGUGUGGCAGCAUGAGAAAAUUCUUCCCCUAGAGAAGUGACAACAGCAAUUUACAUCACUUGUAUGUGAGGGGGGGUGGUAAUAAAGAGAGAAAGGAAUAAUUGUUUGUAAUAAAUAUUGGCCUCAUAACAGGGGAUUCUUCAUGAAGACUGAAGGUUAACCAUCAUGAGCUUGAAUACUUGGAGAGCUCUUUAACAAGUUCCAGUCUCUCUUCACAAAACUGGGACUCUAUGCACAAGUACAGGUAUCAGACUCCUAGAACAAUGCUAUGAACAUGUCAUCUGGCCAGCCUCAAUGUGCAUCCCAGUUGCUCUAACAUAUGGCCUUAUUUCAUUCCACACUACUAUUCACUGUAGUCAGUAAACAUCAGUGAGUUAUUGGAAAGAUUUAAACACAUUAAGGUGUUGAACACAAUGCUUUCCAAUGGAAAUUUGGAGGAAAAGACAAGGGGGAAAGAAAGACAGAUUGAACAGUUUGAUCUGAUCUGAAGAAAGGAACAACACAAAAAAAAAAAAAAAGGUGAUGUGACACUGAAAUAAUUCUGAUACUGAAAUAAAUAAAUCUAUGAGUUGGAAAAUAAUCUGAAAUUAAAGCUUGUUUGUGCUUGCUCUCAUCAGUCAUUUCUAGGUAUUCCUAAAUGGGAGAUGAGGGGAAAAAAAACCUAGAAAG